GGAGAUGUAGCUCAUUGGUAGAGCACUUGCCUUGCAUGCUUCAGGUCCUGGGUUUCAUUCCCAGCACCA
rnacentral:tRNA from 1 species